GUGAAUAUUGGCUUUUAUGCACAUCUUGUAUAUUUCGACAGUUGGUAGCGGUCUACCAGUUUUGCGAAAAAAAUUAUAAAACUUAGGGGAAAAUAUUGGUGAAAAGAUACAGAAGUACAAGAGAAGAUAGGUGAAAAGAUACGGAAGUACAAGAGAACUGUUUGAAGUAGGCAAUUACAGCCCAAAACUCUGAAGAAAUGCUUACAAACCAUUAGGAGGAAGGAGGUAUCACAGAGGAAACUUGAAACACUUUUUAAUACCCUAAGAACCUUAAUUAAUAAACUAAAGUUAAAGAAAGAAGUUAAUUCAUUGUCAGGGUUACCACAGAUUUUUACUAAUGAAGAAGAAUCACAGCCUGUUAUAGAUGUUUCACAACUGAGUGAAUCUUGGUUCCUGUCACUCCCAUUGAACUUCAAAUGAUAGUGAAGUCAUACAUUCAAAUAUGAUUGUCCAGGCCAAAAUGGCUCUUGGGUGUCACCCAACACGACCCUGAACUUCGUGUACGCUUUGCAACCGACAUUAAAGUGAGUAGAGCUACUGUUGAUGAGUAGAGAAAAUACUGAACAUUAGCAUGUUGAACUGAAAGAUAUGCCAGCAAGCACUGUAUGGUACUUUGAUGAAACCAAUCUCACUGAUAAUCCUAGGAAAAAGAAAGCUUUUGCAAAAAUAAAUUCAAAAUAGUCAAUAAACAUUUGUAAUUCCUCCAAGAGCAACUUAUCAGUAAUGUUUGCUGGCAGUGACAAGGGAGAAAUCUUGCCUCCAUUUGUUUGUGAUCUACAUGGAUAGAAAAUGGGCCCAGUGGCUAUUUUUAGCCAAUUUGCUCUAGUGGAUGGUUUGACAGUUGUUCACUAGGCUGAUGCUACUGAAAUUGGAAAACUUGGAAGGGAAGAAAGUAGUAAUCUGUGAUGAUUUAUUCUCACAUUUGACAGACUAUGUCGUAGGGCUCUACCGUGAGAAUUAUGUUUCAUUCAUCUGUUUGCCAGUGAACAGUACCCACAUUACACAUUACACAGCCAUUGGAUGUUUCUGUCAUUGAGCCCAUAAAAGCAACCUGGAGCCAGAUUCUUACAGACUGGAAAAGCAGCAAGUUAGGCUUCAAAGACUUUCUUCCAGAAACAGCAUUUACCAUUUCUGUUAAGAAGACUAAUGUUUAUAUUGGCAGGUUUCAGAAAGUGCAGCAUACAUCCAAUCAAUGUUGUUGAAAUUCUCCAUCUUCAUUCAAGGACAUGUGACAAGGAUGCAGUAAAGGACACUUUCAUUGAAGCCCUCCACAAUAAGAGAUCUGAAUGGACUACUGGUGUUGCCAAUAAGAGAGUGAGAAGGAAAAUUAGAGUGACUCCCAGUAAAAGUGUGACAGAGAUGCUGAAAAAGGUUACAAAGGAAACAGAGAAGAAGUCACAAAAAUGAAGCAAGUAGCCCAGAAGAAGAUUCUGAAGCUAUCCCUCUAAGAGAUUCUUUUGAAGAUGAUCAGAGCAGCAUCACCUGUAACAUGUGAAGCAGAUGAUGCCCAGUUAGUAAAUAGUCAAAGAAGAGUGGUCCAGAAUUUAAUGAAGUUGUGUGCACUGUGCAACAUAUGAAGGGAGAUGGAUGAAUUACUGAUUUAGGUGAUGAUGGAGCUACAGUAAAUUCAAGGCAGAAGCCUAAGAAAUCAUGGAAGUGGCCAGUGUCGAAGAUGAAAUGGUGUAUGAUGUUGAUGAAAUGAUUGGCACCAUUCAGCCUCCAAUACAGAUAAGCCAAUGUGCUACAGUUGCACUAGAGCUUCGAUGUUAGUGGUAAUAACUCACAACAUAGAGUAUAUUUUGUGUUAAAUCUUUAAACUGUAGACUAUUUUGAUAAUAAAAUUUGUUUGUGCAUA